GUGGGGAAUAUUGGACAAUGGGCGAAAGCCUGAUCCAGCCAUGCCGCGUGAGUGAUGAAGGCCUUAGGGUUGUAAAGCUCUUUCAGUAGGGAAGAUAAUGACGGUACCUACAGAAGAAGCCCCGGCUAACUUCGUGCCAGCAGCCGCGGUAAUACGAAGGGGGCUAGCGUUGUUCGGAUUUACUGGGCGUAAAGCGCACGUAGGCGGAUUGGUCAGUUAGAGGUGAAAUCCUGGAGCUCAACUCCAGAACUGCCUUUAAUACUGCCAGUCUAGAGUCCAGAAGAGGUGAGUGGAACUCCUAGUGUAGAGGUGGAAUUCGUAGAUAUUAGGAAGAACACCAGUGGCGAAGGCGGCUCACUGGUCUGGUACUGACGCUGAGGUACGAAAGCGUGGGGAGCAAACAGGAUUAGAUACCCGAGUAGUCC
rnacentral:rRNA from 1 species